rnacentral:rRNA from 1 species
UACGAAGGGGGCUAGCGUUGCUCGGAAUCACUGGGCGUAAAGCGCACGUAGGCGGAUUUUUAAGUCAGGGGUGAAAUCCUGGAGCUCAACUCCAGAACUGCCUCUGAUACUGGGAAUCUUGAGUCCGGGAGAGGUGAGUGGAACUGCGAGUGUAGAGGUGAAAUUCGUAGAUAUUCGCAAGAACACCAGUGGCGAAGGCGGCUCACUGGCCCGGUACUGACGCUGAGGUGCGAAAGCGUGGGGAGCAAACAGGG